UACGUAGGGUGCGAGCGUUUGUUCGGAAUUAUUGGGCGUAAAGAGCUCGUAGGCGGCUUGUCGCGUCGGAUGUGAAAGCCCGGGGCUUAACUCCGGGUCUGCAUUCGAUACGGGCAGGCUAGAGUUCGGUAGGGGAGAUCGGAAUUCCUGGUGUAGCGGUGAAAUGCGCAGAUAUCAGGAGGAACACCGGUGGCGAAGGCGGAUCUCUGGGCCGAUACUGACGCUGAGGAGCGAAAGCGUGGGGAGCGAACAGG
rnacentral:rRNA from 1 species